AGCCUAAACCGCGCAGCAAUGCGUGGCAUGGCUCAAAAACCUUCGCAGUAAAAAGCUCCUAGUCAGAGCUCCUGCGAAGGUCACGUGCCGAAAGGUACGUGGGCAGUCGUAAGACUGUC
rnacentral:sRNA from 1 species